UACGGAGGGAGCUAGCGUUGUUCAGAAUUACUGGGCGUAAAGCGCACGUAGGCGGCUUUGUAAGUUAGAGGUGAAAGCCCGGGGCUCAACCCCGGAAUUGCCUUUAAGACUGCAUCGCUUGAAUCCGGGAGAGGUGAGUGGAAUUCCGAGUGUAGAGGUGAAAUUCGUAGAUAUUCGGAAGAACACCAGUGGCGAAGGCGGCUCACUGGACCGGUAUUGACGCUGAGGUGCGAAAGCGUGGGGAGCAAACAGG
rnacentral:rRNA from 1 species